CAGCCGCCGCGGUAAUACGUAGGUGGCAAGCGUUGUCCGGAAUUAUUGGGCGUAAAGCGCGCGCAGGCGGAUCAGUCAGUCUGUCUUAAAAGUUCGGGGCUUAACCCCGUGAUGGGAUGGAAACUGCUGAUCUAGAGUAUCGGAGAGGAAAGUGGAAUUCCUAGUGUAGCGGUGAAAUGCGUAGAUAUUAGGAAGAACACCAGUGGCGAAGGCGACUUUCUGGACGAAAACUGACGCUGAGGCGCGAAAGCCAGGGGAGCGAACGGGAUUAGAUACCCGUGUAGUCCCUGUCUCUUAUACA
rnacentral:rRNA from 1 species